AGAGUUUGAUCCUGGCUCAGGAUGAACGCUGGCGGCGUGCCUAACACAUGCAAGUCGAGCGAUCUUCUUCGGAGGAGAGCGGCGGACGGGUGAGUAACGCGUGGGUAACCUGCCUCAUACACAUGGAUAACAUACCGAAAGGUAUGCUAAUACAGGAUGAUAUAAGAGAUUCGCAUGGAUUUCUUAUCAAAGCUCCGGCGGUAUGAGAUGGACCCGCGUCUGAUUAGCUAGUUGGUAAGGUGACGGCUUACCAAGGCGACGAUCAGUAGCCGACCUGAGAGGGUGAUCGGCCACAUUGGAACUGAGACACGGUCCAAACUCCUACGGGAGGCAGCAGUGGGGAAUAUUGCACAAUGGGCGAAAGCCUGAUGCAGCAACGCCGCGUGAGCGAUGAAGGCCUUCGGGUCGUAAAGCUCUGUCCUCAAGGAAGAUAAUGACGGUACUUGAGGAGGAAGCCCCGGCUAACUACGUGCCAGCAGCCGCGGUAAUACGUAGGGGGCUAGCGUUAUCCGGAUUUACUGGGCGUAAAGGGUGCGUAGGUGGUUUCUUAAGUCAGGAGUGAAAGGCUACGGCUCAACCGUAGUAAGCUCUUGAAACUGGGAAACUUGAGUGCAGGAGAGGAAAGUGGAAUUCCUAGUGUAGCGGUGAAAUGCGUAGAUAUUAGGAGGAACACCAGUAGCGAAGGCGGCUUUCUGGACUGUAACUGACACUGAGGCACGAAAGCGUGGGGAGCAAACAGGAUUAGAUACCCUGCUAGUCCACGCCGUAAACGAUGAGUACUAGGUGUCGGGGGUUACCCCCCUCGGUGCCGCAGCUAACGCAUUAAGUACUCCGCCUGGGGAGUACGCUCGCAAGAGUGAAACUCAAAGGAAUUGACGG
rnacentral:rRNA from 1 species